rnacentral:tRNA from 1 species
CCCUGGGUGGUCUAACGCUUAAGACUCUGACUGCCAAUACAGGGAACACAGGCUCAAUUCCUGAUUCAGGAA